GAUGAACGCUAGCGGCAGGCUUAACACAUGCAAGUCGAGGGGCAGCAUGAGACGGAGAUUCGUCGAAGUCUUGAUGGCGACCGGCGCAAGGGUGCGUAACGCGUGAGCAACUUGCCCGUUUCUGCGGAAUAACCGGUGGAAACGCCGACUAAUACCCCAUAGUAUUGAGUUUAGGCAUCCUUACUCAAUUAAAGAAUUUCGGAAACGGAUAGGCUCGCGUGACAUUAGCUAGAUGGCGGGGUAACGGCCCACCAUGGCAACGAUGUCUAGGGGUUCUGAGAGGAAGGUCCCCCACACUGGAACUGAGACACGGCCCAA
rnacentral:rRNA from 1 species